AAACUAUGGCUCAGUGCAGCGGAGGCGGUUGACGGGAGCGCAUCGUCUCUCUCUCUCUGUGGAGCGCGAGCAGCGGACAUCGGGAUCGAACGCUUGAUUUUUGGAUCUCACUGGAAAUAUUCUCCCCUUGUUGCCGGGCGAAGAGAAAAAGACCAGUUCCUACAUGGAUCCUCCGGACGCGCUAGAAGGAUUAAAUCCUGAAGUUCCAUCACUGACACACGUGGAGUUAUUAUUGAUAUUGUGAUUAUUAUUGGCGGUGGAUAAACGUGAUCCAGACGCCACCGGCGGGUGGAUUCAAGCGUGGCUCGUCGUGAAGGAUUUAUGGAAAGCCUGUGUGUGACACGGGAUGAGCGCUGUCCAUUCCUCCCGCUGCCCGAGUCCUUUGUCGGACGGACGAGACUAUUGGCUGCCUCGCGCGUGUUCGUGUGUGGCCAGCGUCACGGACGCCAAACCCCUUAAACGCUGUUGGAAAUAGUGAAUAUUGGCACAAGGGAAUAAUCCCGCAUGUGGCGCAGCGCGUGCGCUGCGGGUGUCCAGCGGUUCGGAUACUGACAGCGCGCAUCUUCUCAACCAGCAGGGUGAACCAAAAAACCUUGGGAUGAGAUGAAACCUCCACUUCCAUGAAUCUUGUGAUGGCCCGAGAAGAGGCCGACUGAUGGAAAGCCGAUCCUGCAAGAUGCAUCAGGAUCACGCUAAAUCCAGGGUUGGACUGUGGACGAGCAUCCAGUCCGGCAGAUGUUCGCUGCUGGCGUGGCCGCCGACAGCGGGAGCGUCCAGCGCCCCAGACUGGGAUAGGCCGGGACGCGAACGCCGCGGGCCGGCGGAAGCGCCCGUCAGCCCGUCAUCGGAAGUGCAAGAUUAACGUCGCUGCGAUUAGCGAGGAGCAGAAACGAACGUCUCCCGACAUUCCUCAGCGGCUUUUAAUUGAGAUCACAAAGAGGCCUUUGUCAUUCAGGUGCAGAUGAAUGAAAGCAAAACCUCUCCUACCGCCACUACAUUUUCCUGUCAGCUCGUGGUAAUGUUAUUUAAUAAUCCUGUCAACCUGUUUAGGCUGAUGAUGAUUUAUGGUUCCAUACAUUCUGUCGUGUUUGUGAAAUCCUAUUAGUGGGAAUAAAAAGAAUGCUGCAUCCGA